UAGGAUUUCAAUUUAGCAAAUUGGGACAAGACAUCACAAAUAUGACUCGACAGGCAUUGAAACCAAAAACCUUUAACAGUGGAGUUAAGAUCAAAGAAUUGCUGAGAGCAAUAAAACAUGGAGUCAUAAUUUUAAUAUAGAGACUUCCAAACAUAAAACAUGUACAAAACAGUUUUUAUAUAUCGGAGAAAUAAAUGAUCUAAUUUAAAAACAUGAAA